rnacentral:lncRNA from 1 species
GGGUGUCCCGCGGCGCCGGAAACUGGGCGCACACACCCUCGGAUUGACGUGCGCACGCGCACCGGUUACCUUCAGGAGCGCCGAAGAAGGAAAGAAGACUGCCAGCUCCGUGACAGCAAGAACCUUGUAUGACUUUUUCAUGAUGGAUGUUCAUCUGUGCCAUCUGUAAAUAUUGAAUAAAUAUUUGUGGAAUACAUGAAUCUAAAAGUGAAUGGAAUGAUAAAGAGGGAAAGGGUCAUGACAUCUACUACAGCAUUUGGCACAGACCCAGGUUUCCCUGGUACUGGUAAUUCCCAGCAGCUUUCUACAAUUCCAAAGCUGUCUGCAGUACUAUCAAGAGAUGACAUGGACUUCAAGGAUCAAACAGGGGAGAAAAAGGCUUAAAAGAAAAACAAGUCUCCAUCAAAGGUAAUAACCACAAUGAGAACUAUACAUAGCUAUGUGCUUAUAGGUCUUAGUUCACAUUCCCCUCAUUAAAAUUAUAGCUCAAGAAAUAAAGGGCUGUUUAAUGACUUGGGUAUAUAAAUAUACUUCAUUUGUAUAUUUUUUACUUGCUAAAAUCUAUCCAAAUUGGUAUUACCUCAAACCAUAAUCUUCUACUGUAUUUUAUAAUUUUACUUUAUUGCCAUGUAUUUUUCCCACUGAUGUUCACAAAUUCACAGGAAACAUCAGCCAUGUACUAAAUAAAAUAUGAAUUGAAUCGACAAAUAGAACUAUAAA